rnacentral:tRNA from 1 species
CGGGGUGUAGCGCAGCCUGGUUAGCGCGCGUGCCUUGGGAGCACGAGGUCGGCGGUUCGAAUCCGCCCACCCCGACCA